rnacentral:rRNA from 1 species
UACGGAGGGUGCAAGCGUUAUCCGGAUUCACUGGGUUUAAAGGGUGCGUAGGAGGGCAGGUAAGUCAGUGGUGAAAUCUCCAAGCUUAACUUGGAAACUGCCGUUGAUACUAUCUGUCUUGAAUAUUGUGGAGGUGAGCGGAAUAUGUCAUGUAGCGGUGAAAUGCUUAGAUAUGACAUAGAACACCAAUUGCGAAGGCAGCUCACUACUCAAUCAUUGACGCUGAGGCACGAAAGCGUGGGGAGCAAACAGG